ACGCCGCGUGAGUGAUGAAGGUUUUCGGAUCGUAAAGCUCUGUUGUUAGGGAAGAACAAGUACCUGUUGAAUAAGCAGGUACCUUGACGGUACCUAACCAGAAAGCCACGGCUAACUACGUGCCAGCAGCCGCGGUAAUACGUAGGUGGCAAGCGUUGUCCGGAAUUAUUGGGCGUAAAGCGCGCGCAGGCGGUUCCUUAAGUCUGAUGUGAAAGCCCACGGCUCAACCGUGGAGGGUCAUUGGAAACUGGGGAACUUGAGUGCAGAAGAGGAGAGCGGAAUUCCACGUGUAGCGGUGAAAUGCGUAGAGAUGUGGAGGAACACCAGUGGCGAAGGCGGCUCUCUGGUCUGUAACUGACGCUGAGGCGCGAAAGCGUGGGGAGCGAACAGGAUUAGAUACCCUGGUAGUCCACGCCGUAAACGAUGAGUGCUAAGUGUUAGAGGGUUUCCGCCCUUUAGUGCUGCAGCAAACGCAUUAAGCACUCC
rnacentral:rRNA from 2 species